rnacentral:rRNA from 1 species
AAUGCCAGUCUCCGAGAACAAUAUCCAGCCUUGUACAACAUUGCUCGCGAUAAGAACAAUACUAUUGCGCAGAUGCUCAACUCAUCCCCGUCGAAUAUUUCGUUCAGGUGGGAUUUGGUUGGCGCUCGACUUAUGUCAUGGCAUAAUCUCUUAUCCCGUCUGGAUCUGAUUAACCUGACGCAAGGCCGUGAUGUGUUUCUCUGGAAUCUUACCACAUCGGGGUCUUUCACGGUAGACUCUAUGUAUCGUGCGCUCACGCAUUCUGAGGUACCGGAGAGCAAUAACAAGAAAAUCUGGAAGGCAAAGAUUUCACUAAAAGUUAAAAUAUUCAUGUGGUAG